GGGUUCAAGCUGUUCUUGAUUUUCAUCUUCAUCCGCCAUUGUUGCACCAGGCGAAGCUUUCUUCAGUUCUUCAAAUGAAGCCUUCAUCAAUGGCGGUUCUUCUUCUUUUCCUCAUCAUUUCCGAAGCUGAAGGGAUUCGGUUGCUUGAUAAAAGGAUGAGCAAAGAGGAUAAGAAAAAUGGGGGAGAUUUGUUGGUGACGAUGAAAUGGAGAGCUCCAAAUAAGGCCUUGAGAAAACCCUAUUCUCAUUGGCUACCAGGCAUUCAAGAAGAUUAUCAUGGUCCAAGAAGCCAUAAAUCUAGGCACCAUUAGGGCUUUUUUAGGGUUUUUCGAGAGGUAAAUAGAAACCGAACAUCGUUAAGAUGAUGUUAUUCGUUUAGUAGGAUUGACUGUAACCGAUUGAUUUAGUUAGAACAAAUUAUUUGAAGAGCUGAUGAUUUCGA